rnacentral:lncRNA from 10 species
AGAGCACCGAGGGGGAGCCAGCAGUGAGUGCACUGGGGAGCUCCACACACGCGGCUCCGCAGCUUUGCGCGCCCUUCUACCGCGAGCGGCUGAGUAUCCGCCUGGCUCCCCUGCGGGGUUCCUCCGUGGUCUUCCGGAGAUUCUUUCUGAAGCAGCUUUAGAAUAGUCAAGCCUAUUUUUCUACUCCAUUUCUUUUUGUAAUGUGGGGUCACCUUUCCGCUCUAGAAAUUGCUUUUCUUACGCGAUUCCCACCCCAACUCUCGCCAAGGGCCCUGGUUCUCAUCUCCCCAGUCUUAGCUUCUGACAAGCCUCCAAGAAACUGCGCUUUUUUCUUUUCUGGAGAUGCAGAGUAUGAAAAUGAUUUUGCAAGACUUUUCCAGGUCAUGAGGUGCUCUCUGAGAAAUCUCUUCUGUUCCCUAAAGUAGUUGCUCAUGCUGGGGGAAGCUAGCCAUCACGUCAUGCCGACACUCAAGUAACUCAUAAAGAGGAACUUUUCCAACCAGCACCAUGGCAGAGAGCUGUCUUAUGUGCAGAUUUUCCAGACCAAGUCAAGUCUUCUGAUGCCUGCAGAAAUGGCUGACAUCCUGACUGCAACAUCUUAAGUGAUCCUAUGGCAGAACCACCCAG